AUUAUCAUGUGUCUAUUCAGGGUGCUCUUUCGCCCAAAUCUUUGACCACACUCAGAACAGACAAAUGCUUUUUGUCCUGUAUGAAUUAUCAUGUGUGUUUUCAGGUUGCUCUUUAGUCCAAAUCUUUGACCACACGCAGAACAGACAAAUGCCUUUUGUCCUGUAUGAAUUAUCAUGUGGUCGCUCAGGGUGCUCUUUUGUC